GACGAACGCUGGCGGCGUGCUUAACACAUGCAAGUCGAACGGUGAAGGGACUGGUUUUGCUGGUCCUGGAUGAGUGGCGAACGGGUGAGUAACACGUGAGUAACCUGCCCCCUUCUUCUGGAUAACCGCAUGAAAGUGUGGCUAAUACGGGAUAUUCUGGGUCUGUCGCAUGGUGGGCCUGGGAAAGAUUGCGCCUUUUUUGGUGUUUUUGGUGGGGGAUGGGCUCGCGGCCUAUCAGCUUGUUGGUGGGGUGAUGGCCUACCAAGGCGGUGACGGGUAGCCGGCCUGAGAGGGUGGACGGUCACACUGGGACUGAGACACGGCCCAGACUCCUACGGGAGGCAGCAGUGGGGAAUAUUGCACAAUGGGCGCAAGCCUGAUGCAGCGACGCCGCGUGAGGGAUGGAGGCCUUCGGGUUGUGAACCUCUUUCGCCAGUGAAGCAGGCCUGCCUCUUUUUGUGGGUGGGUUGACGGUAGCUGGAUAAGAAGCGCUGGCUAACUACGUG
rnacentral:rRNA from 1 species